rnacentral:rRNA from 1 species
AGGAUUCCCCUAGUAACGGCGAGUGAAGAGGGAAGAGCCCAGCAUCGAAGCCUGCGCAGGUUUGCUGUUAGGCAAUGUGGUGUUUGGGUCGGCUCGUGGGACCACCACUCCACUCGAAGUCCAGCAUUGAGUAUGGUUACUGGAUUUGGCCCAGAGAGGGUGAAAGGCCCGUACGAGUGGAGUAUCAGACAUGUGAGUUGUGGUUCACCAGGUCGACCUUAGAGUCGGGUUGUUUGGGAAUGCAACCCAAAGUGGGUGGUAAACUCCAUCCAAGGCUAAAUACUAGCACGAGUCCGAUAGCCAACAAGUACCGUGAGGGAAAGUUGAAAAGUACUCUGAAGAGAGAGUAAACAGUACGUGAAACCGCAUGCAGGUAAACGGGUGGCGUUAAGCUGCAAGCCCGGAGAAUUCAGUCGGCUAGGGUGUUGUGUAUGCGCCUGGCAGUCAUAUCAGUCGGAGUAGUACGAUUGGGUAGUCCACUGGGAAACAGUGGGCCUGGCCGCAAGGUCAGGAUAUGUGGUACCGGGUGGGUGCCGGAGCAUGCUAUCCGUCUGUGGACUGUCUAGCCGGUGCACUUUCUCUGUGGUCAACACCACGACCGGUGGUAUUGCCAGUCUACUAGGUCCAAGUCGCGUCUGCUAGGUCCCCGUGGCCAAACUGGCGCGAUCACGCGCAAACUCAGUAAACGGCGUGAAGGUGUCUCGGCACUUUUGCGUGUUAUCGGCUACUGGUUGUGAACGGGCCUGCUGGGUGUUUGUUGUAACCGGCACCUCAUGUGGCUCGGUUGGGGCGUAGUGGUAGGAAUAACUGUGCAGGGCACCGGAGUCGUCGGCCUCAAUUCGUCCCGCGUCCACGUUACAAGUGUUAGUCCAUAACAGCUGUGUCGUCGCUGCCUGCCCGGUGCUGGGUCUGAUUGGCGUGCCGCCUGCGCAAAGUAGGCCCCGGUGGCUCGGUUCGCGAUGGGUGGUUGGUGGCGUUGUCGGUGGCGUGGGGCGUUGUGGGCCCAAUAGUCAGUGU